UACGGGGGGGGCAAGCGUUGUUCGGAAUUACUGGGCGUAAAGGCUCGUAGGUGGCCAACUAAGUCAGACGUGAAAUCCCUCAGCUUAACUGGGGAACUGCGUCUGAUACUGGAUGGCUUGAGUUUGGGAGAGGGAUGCGGAAUUCCAGGUGUAGCGGUGAAAUGCGUAGAUAUCUGGAGGAACACCGGUGGCGAAGGCGGCAUCCUGGACCAACACUGACACUGAGGAGCGAAAGCCAGGGGAGCAAACGGG
rnacentral:rRNA from 1 species